CACGUAGGGUGCGAGCGUUGUCCGGAAUUAUUGGGCGUAAAGAGCUCGUAGGCGGUGUGUCGCGUCGGCCGUGAAAACCUGCAGCUUAACUGUGGGCGUGCGGUCGAUACGGGCAUCACUGGAGUUCGGCAGGGGAGACUGGAAUUCCUGGUGUAGCGGUGAAAUGCGCAGAUAUCAGGAGGAACACCGGUGGCGAAGGCGGGUCUCUGGGCCGAUACUGACGCUGAGGAGCGAAAGCGUGGGGAGCAAGCAGG
rnacentral:rRNA from 1 species